rnacentral:rRNA from 1 species
GUGGAUUAGAUACCCUGGUAGUCCACGCCGUAAACGAUGAUGACUAGCUGUCGGGGCGCUUGGCGUUUCGGUGGCGCAGCUAACGCGUUAAGUCAUCCGCCUGGGGAGUACGGCCGCAAGGUUAAAACUCAAAGAAAUUGACGGGGGCCUGCACAAGCGGUGGAGCAUGUGGUUUAAUUCGAAGCAACGCGCAGAACCUUACCAGCGUUUGACAUGGUAGGACGGUUUCUGGAGACAGAUUCCUUCCCUUACGGGACCUACACACAGGUGCUGCAUGGCUGUCGACAACU